CAUGAGCCUGUUGCCUUACUUUCUGACUAAACUGUCAGAAACCAAACAUGAAACAUGGACUUGACUUAUGCUGACCAACACUGGAAUUCUGUAAUAUUUCUCAAAUGGUAAUGAUUCUGCAUAUACGAAGAGUUUUAUUCAAAAAAGAAAUAUCCUUUAUUAAAGAAAACAAAUCUCAGGCCUGAUGGGUAUUCAUAUCCAAAUACCGUGAAACGUACGUUUAAACAGCCCUGAAAUCACAGCUGACGUAUGAGUCUGACUUCAACAACGAAAACAUGCACAUGCUCAACAACUCAGGUGAGGUGCGGCCUGUCCUUCACUGUAAUCCACCCAUGCCGACGUGCUGACACGGAGCUUUUAGAGGCUGAGCUGGCUGUAGCACGCAUUGCAGAUGUGUGGGCAGUUACCUGGAAGUGGAGUCCCAGGGAAGCUGCAGGACAGUCAAUGAGUAACAUCAUCACCUACCACCAUGCAACCCUGUCUCCUGAAAAUGACGUCUAUGUACAGCUAAACUGCAACAGCAAAUGUGUUUUUUGCAGAAAACACAAUAGAUUUAGCAUUACAUGGAUCAACUAAAAUGUUAUAUGUUUGGUGAACAGAUGAUGUAGUCCACCAAUGUUGUUGUUGUUGUUGUUGUGCUUGUCACUGGUGUUGCUGGGAGAGCAGAGACGUGCACGGAUGUCUGUCACUUGAUUCCUCUUCAGUGUGACAUGUUAAUGUGUCUGUGGUGUCACAACAUCUGUUAGCUACGGACAGAGAAGCAGUUUGAUUUGAUGGGUGAUAAAAUCUGUGAUGGUUGUUUGGUUUCUUUGGUUACACUCCCACCACAGCAGCUUGAGUUAGGCACUGAAGAAGGUCUGUUUUCCGUGAAGUAACAUCCGAAGGAGUUCAGGAGCCCAUUGCUCAAGAACUGUGGAUAUCAUGUGACCUCUUAAGAUGAUGUUCCACCGAGGUGAGGAACAAUGGAACAAGCUGUUUUUCAAGAUCAAUUGGGAAGCGGUAAUAUGGUUCACUUUUAUGUUUGCUUACAAUAAUCAUUGUAGUAAAAAUUCGGCAGCUUCG